rnacentral:rRNA from 1 species
CCUACGGGAGGCAGCAGUAGGGAAUCUUCCACAAUGGGCGAAAGCCUGAUGGAGCAACGCCGCGUGGGUGAAGAAGGUCUUCGGAUCGGAAAACCCUGUUGUUAGAGAAGAAAGUGCGAGAGAGUAACUGUUCACGUGUAGACGGUAUCUAACCAGAAAGCCAGGGCUAACUACGUGCCAGCAGCCGCGGUAAUACGUAGGUGGCAUGCGUUAGCCGGAUUGAUUGGGCGUAAAGGGAACGCAGGCGGUCUUUUAAGUCUGAUGUGAAAGCCUCCGGCUUACCCGGAGUAGUGCAUUUGACACUGGGAGACUUGAGUGCCGAAUGGGGGAGUGGAACUCCAUGUGUAGCGGU